rnacentral:rRNA from 1 species
GACGUAGGGCGCGAGCGUUGUCCGGAUUUAUUGGGCGUAAAGAGCUCGUAGGCGGCUUGUCGCGUCGUCCGUGAAAACCCGCGGCUCAACCGUGUGGUCUGCAGUCGAUACGGGCAGGCUAGAGUUCGGUAGGGGAGACUGGAGUUCCUGGUGUAGCGGUGAAAUGCGCAGAUAUCAGGAGGAACACCAGUGGCGAAGGCGGCUACCUGGACCGGUUCUGACGCUGAGGCGCGAAAGCGUGGGUAGCAAACAGG